rnacentral:rRNA from 1 species
UUUAAGUGAAGAGUUUGAUCCUGGCUCAGAGUGAACGCUGGCGGCAGGCCUAACACAUGCAAGUCGAACGGCAGCACAGUAAGAGCUUGCUCUUAUGGGUGGCGAGUGGCG